UUUCCAUAAUUCUGUUUAAGUGUCUUUAAUUCCUACAUUGUGAUCAUUUGAUUGUUUUUAAAGGAGGGCUGUGGAAUCACAGCUUCAAAAUAGAAGAGAUUGAGAGCGACGUGCACAUGAGUCUGGUCACAAACAAUGAAAGUAGAAGUUUGAGCACGGAGUUGUGCUCAGUCAGCACUGUCAGCAUUAAGAGAGUGAAUCUGAAAGUUGGCACUUGGUCUUGUUGAACCUCCUACAGCUGGCCUCAGCCCAACCAUGCAGCCUGUCUGCAUCCCUGCAUCAGGCCUUCCUUCCCCCAGGCACGUCAGUGCUUCCUCCCAGCUUGGUGUGCAGUACUUCCUCCCAGCAAGGCGUUAUCUGCAAAAUUACUGAGGGUGGAAUGUGCUGUACCAAUGUUACCUGCAUUCUCCAGGCCUGGACUCACUGCUCUGUUUAGGCAGAUAUCAAACGUUCAGCAUGAUCUGUCAGUACUGGUGAAGUCCUUUCUCUGAACCAGACAACAGAAGCUGCUCUCCUAGUUCAUGGUUGCUCCUUUCCACUGGCAAAACAACCUCAGGGGAUCUGCUUUCAGUUUUAUCAUUUCACCUGAGCAGAAAUUUGGGAGAGUGGUUUAAUGUCAGCUAGUGUGUUUUAAUGGAGGCCUGGAAGAAGAAGAAAAAACCUUCCUGUGUCCACUUGUUUCUUAGGUACACCGCAUUACCCACAGCCAGCCUCACCACUCCCAGAGAGAGUUUGUGCUGAGCCUGCUGCCAGGUGGGGGUGAAGAAACGCGCAUCCAUCCUUUUUUUCUUGUUGCAGACUCACCAAUAAGGCCGUUCAGGACUGAAUGCAUUUCCAGAUCUCCUUUUGGCAGCUGGAUGAGAAAGGAAUGCCACCACAAAGGAGGGAUCGCUGAGGCGAGGCUGAAGUUGUAUUCAAAGGCAACAGCAGUGCUGUGCAUUGCAGAUGUCGUAGAAUCACCACCGUGAUCAGGCAGCCUCUUCCCUGGAGUGACUCUGAGUUCUGACUGCAUGUGGGGAAAUCAAGACCUGAGCAGAUCCUUUUUUGUUUACAUUCAAUCUCAGGAAAGCACUGCUCGUCGAGUUGGGCCUAGCAAUAUGGCAGCGCACGUUCGGUAAGGAAUCUCAUCAAGUGCUGCUACGAGGACCAUGUGCUCUCUGCCCCAUUGCCUCGAGUGCACUGCAGGGUGAAGGCUUUUGGAAAGCUGGGGAUUCUCAUUGCACGCCGGCUCCUACCUAAAAGCUUUCCUGGUUUUGCACAGAUGCCGAACUCUUGCACCUCCUGUUCUUGGUCUGAAUUUUGGGCUCUGAGAACUGUGGAAAAGCUGAAUGCUAUCAAGGUAGGUAUGGGAGUCUGAAGUGUAGGAAUAUAAAUUUAGGCAAUCAGUUUAGUAGAUAACCUUUGGACAGAUGGUGAAAGUUUAACAUCUCUAUUGCUGGAUGUGGAGCAAGAGUUGCACAUAACUCAGUUAAAGCAGUAUUCCAACAAAAGGAAAUUGUAUAUUAAUUGCAUGCUUACCAGGGUGCGCAGGUUGAAGUGUUUUAUUUUAAGAGCCUACACAAGAAGUGGGGGAACUUUUGAAAGCAUCAAAAUAGCAAAAUAUUUUUCCACGUGCUGACUGCUUCAUUUUAUAGGCAAUAAUCUGAAGAAAGAGGAGACGCAGCAAGUAAAAAUGUGGAUACACUUUAAGCAACAAUUGCUCUGACUGGUUUUGUGCACAGGCAGCCUGCUCUGUGGCUUAAUUCCCCACCAGUUGCCCACCCAAUAAAACUUCAUUAAUGGGAAAUGUUAGUUACGCCAGCAAGAAAACUUGGAAACUUUGGGGGAAGGAGGGGAGGUUUCUUGCUGGUAACUUUGCUCCACGAUUCUCUUUGAGGAGUGGUUAGAAAAAAUUCUAAAGCAGUUUAAUAUCUGUCUCUGUCAUUGUAGGAAGAAAUGCUGUCAGGUAGCAGUGAGUUGGAGCUGGGGGAAUUUUCUGGAUCGGUUCGUGAAGCGAAAGGAUUCUUUCUCUUUAAAAAUAGAAUGACAAUAGCACCCGGCCCUGUAAUGACUUCUCUGAAAGUUAAAACAACUCAGAGGCAGUUGCUCUGCUUCCACCGGGCUGCCAGCAUGGAAACGAGACCACUUCUUGCGGGAUGGGGGUAUGUGUUUAUUGCACUGCUGUCUGCACACAAAAACUGCUCUCUCUUAACUCGCUGCACCGUUAGCGAUACGCCGCUGGUGUUGGCCAUGGCUCUUUCAGUGCUGUGUAACCACCAGCGAUUCUGCCCAGGGAAGUAGUUAGGAGAAAAAGGAAAAAAAAACCCAAAAAACAACAAACCCGCUGAUCUCCUGCUUUCUUUUAUUUGUUUUAAAGUUGGUUUUGUUUCACUGAGGUUUUGAAGGGAACUGUAGCAACAGUGCUAAUGGUGUCGCAAAGCCAAGAGGCGGCUCUUCCCCCCUGGGGGAAGCGGUGUUGAGGUGCUGAGGGGCACGAAGGCUGCUGCCUGCUAACAGCUCUGACAUUUCAUUUGCAGAAAUGCUUUUCCUCUUUUAAAACAAAAACAAAACCAACAAACCAAAGCCCAAAGCCAAACCUAACAAAUUGCAGAAGAGACCCAUGCCUGUUGCCACAAACCCGUAGAUCCGAACUUGUGGUCAUAUUCCACACAAGCUUGUAUCUAUAGGUAUGUGUCUGUCUGGCAAGUGCACAAAGUGUUGUGUUUCUGCAUUUACACUGAUGAUGUUCGAUUCUGCUGUUUGUGUCUUUCGUCUAAUGCCUUCUUCCCUCCUCCUUUUCUUCUUUUUAAGAAAUGUAAAAGCAGAGCUGCAGAUCUCGCUCUGCAGUUACCGUAUCAGUUUCCGGCUUGGGUUAAUGUUAAAAUACCAACUAACAACUCAUUUGUGCCUGAACGAAAUGGGACGGGGGAGGUCUGUGACAUCAGCCUGAAGAAAUGAAAUCGCAGCGACGUUACACGUGGGUCUGGCUGUGGGGCAUGGGCAGGGGUGGUUCUGAGGUUGCUGGGAGCAGAGAAAGCUGUUUCAUUUAUCAAGUGAGGGGGAUCCAUUCUUUGCUCAGUGGCGAUUUGUUUGUGGGAGCAAGAGGUGCUUCUGUUCUGUUCUUUAUUUUGGGUAACUUCAGUCCCUGUGCACAGUGCAGCCGUGCAGCUCAGUGCCAGAGCCGCCCGUUGGCUCUCCGACUCCUUUCUCUCUCUAAAAUCAGCUCAGUAUAGAAGCCAGGUUCUCUUAAUUUUGUGGUAUUUAUUUCGUUUUAAAUGGUUUUUAAAGUAGAGCAGGGGAAAAACCCAUGUAAGCACGCAGUAAUGAAACCUGCUGGGCAAAACUGACAUUUCUAAGUGGAACAAUUACUUUUGAAGAAGUUUUUUUCAACCCCAACAUACAGAUCCUAUGUGAAAAUAAUUAGAAUGUGAACUCAAAAUAAAGUCUGACUGUUUCUUUCCAGUGUUAAUUUCACCAAAGAUUUGGUCUGUAUUUCCACUUUUAAAUUUCUCUGUUUUUGAACUUGGCUGGUUUGACACACGCUGCUGCGGUCCAAAAAUGGUUUUUGUUUUUUUUUUCCCCUCCCUUGCUGAAUUUCCAGGGUUUUCUGUGUGUUUUCUGCUUAAUGUAGAUGCAUAAAACAAUGGCAGAGAGCUAACAGAACUGCAGUCUAACUGCUUUUGUUUCUUCAUGUGGAUUGAAACUAGCAAGAGGUUACCGAGAAGGAUGCAGGAUGCUCUUCCAGGCAAAGCUUUCACAAAGCCAUAGUGAAGCCUUGCUGUGAUUUACUGCCCUGGACAUGCACCUGGAGUCCAGAUCUCCCCUGGGCAUUGGUUGCCAUCACCUGUGAAGUUGCUGAAAGCUCCCAGUGCUCAAACAGUGCUUCCUGACUCCUUCCCCUUUGCUGGUGGACAUUGUAUCUGUGGUGGAACGAAUAGGGGUUCUCCUGCAGUAGAUGCAGGAUGAGAUUGCAUGUUGUGACAGUGAGGUUUGUUUUUUCUAGAGAGGGUGUUAUGGUUUUGCUGUUUUUCUUUUGUUUUUAAAUGCUGUGAAUAUUCAGUGUAUUAGAUUCCAGUGUUUGCAGCUAUCAGGGAAGCCUUGGUUGAUUCAGUCUGACCUCUGAAGAGGAAUGAUCUGGCCAAAUGCAGUUCCCAAUAUAAUGUGUAUUUGUGCAUGGUGGUCUCUUCCCUGUAAAGCCAUUUGGAGACAUCAGGCAUUUGGCAAUGUGCUGAGAGAAACCUGGGAUUUAUCGCUGAGCGUUUUGGAGUCUGCCACUUCAGGUGACGUUGUGUUGGGAGUGCCAAAAACCCAUGGCAAAGGAAUUGGGCUCGUGUGUCACAAAAUGAGAUGCCACCCUUGGGCUUGCGGGGAGUUUGAAAGCACACUUUUGGAUUAGAAGAAUCAGUAUUUGAGUCAAAGGGAAGAGUGCAAAAUGACUUUGGGUACAGUGUUUUAGUGCAGUUCCUCACCAUGCUGGGCUCUGCUGAUCGAUGUCCAGCUUUCUUCUUUCGGACAGAGACUUGACCUAACCACGGCUGGAUGCUUAGAAAGCAAACAUGAGCGAUGUGCCAUCAAACACAGGGCCAAGAUGCCUGCCCAUGCUGCUGGGCUCCCUUCUGGAGCUCAGCUUGCUUUCUGGUCGCUGCUGGUUUUCUGCUGCUUGGCAAAGGAUAAGGGCAGCUGUGCCCCUGCAUGGGGAUGCAGCAAUUCAGCCCGGUGUGAGCUGGAGAUGCUCCAUGGUCUGUGGGACAAGUGGACGUGCUGCAGAGCACACCCACAACACGUCACUAAUUUUUUAAUUUAUUUUAGUUAAUUUUCCUUGCUAGGCUCCCGCCAGCCUUUUUUUAGCCGUAGCCUCUGAUACUUGCCCAGCCUUUGUUUUUCAGCUCAGCCUUUUGAAAAGAGCUGUAUUGUGUUUUUGGUGUUAAUUUGUAUUUCUUUUCCGUUGGUUGUAUUUCACUGCACUUCAUUAAGUUUUAGAGUGAAACUCGAGUCUGACAAAAUGAUGGGAAGAACCUUGAAAUGUGUCUUCCCUGUAGGACGGAAGAAACUAAUUGGAGGCUGCGGUGCUUCUACCUGGAUGUUUCUCGUGAAUAUUUUCCCUCACUUAGUUGAUGAGGAGCUCACAUUUAUGCAGCAGCUUUGAUCUGAGUGCCAGACAGAGUGCACAGAGAUCUCUUCAUCUGUCACCGAGGCACAGCGGCUGCAUCCCAUUGCGCCGGCGCGCUGCAGGGUCACCAUGGGCAGGGAGUGCUGGAUGCUUUGCCCAGUUUGAUGUUGCAGGGAACAGAAAGAAAGAGAAGGCAGCUACUGGAGCUGGAAACAAACCAGAGCCCCUCAUGCAGAAUGUAGCAGGAGGGCCUCCGGGACAUGAAAAAAUCACAAUAUCCUCUCAGAAAUUGCUACCUUGAUCUGCACAGUGCAUUCUCUAGCGAUAGGCAGUCAUUGCUUUAGCACCUCCCAGGAAAAAAUGCCUCCUGUGGAACUAACCUGGCUACGUGUGCAUCGAGGGAGGCUCUGCUACAGUAGUGCUCCGUUUCUCCAGUUAGUGCAGAGGCAAAGGUUCUUGCCUGAAGAAGAAAAGCAAACCUUUACCAAAGCGAGCUCCUCUUGUUCUUCAGGUUUGGUCAAUCACGGUUUUCUCCCUCAAAAUAACAAGACUGCUUCUCCUUUCUGUUAAUGACAUCUUUCACUGAAAGGCCAUUUGCAGACAGGUGUGUUGCGCAGCAUCCGCUGGGGUGCAAGAAUGAUUUCACUUGCGUGCUCCCCCUUUUCCCAGUCUCAUCUGGUGCAGAGCACAGCGAGCGGUGUCAGCAGAGAGGAGCACACAGUAGCAUUCGGGUAAUUAGGAGAACCAUAUGCAGUGGCAAAUGGGAAUCAUGAUAAGCAGAAUGUGAUUGUGUACCCUGGAAUUUGAACCUUAUCCAAAUAGUCUUAUUCAGAUAAUCAAAUCUCGUCGAACUCUUAAAAGGCAGAUAAAUAACUAUUUCAGUAAUCUGAAUUUUAUUUAUUGUUUUAAUCAGUUCUUUGUUCUUUGUUUAUUUGUUUUUAAUCACUGAGGGAGAAAACAGGGAGAGGAUGUUCUUAGACGUGGAUGUUUGGGACUAAGACCCCCAUCCUUGAGCCAGGCAGUCUCCAUCCACUUCAGCCCCAGUGAUCUGAAGGAGGAACGUCCAUGCAAAACCAGCAUUGGCUCUGGGACCUCCUCAUGCUAUGCAGAGUCUCCAACAAGAACGUUCAACCUGGGCUCUGUGAGCUUCCCACAUUCCCAUAAAGCAGUGUGGUGCUGCUCAGCCAUACAACAGACCUGGGCCUGUGGGUUUGGGGGGUUAUUUAGAGUCAUCAGCCCUGCAGCUUGCCUACCAGCAUCUCUCCUGGGCUCAGCUACUGACACAAAGCUCUCCAUGCUUCAGCAGUAAGUGCUUGGCUACCCUUCCCCUAGAAACUACCAGAUCCUGAAAUGUGAUAUUGAGUAAAUCUUCAGAUUGCUGUAACUCUUGCUAAAAAUUCAAGCACGGACCAUUUUUGUAACGUGUUGAAAAGUUUUGGGUUGCUUUCAUAAUAUUGUAGCUGCUCUGGAUGUCAGCUGAGCCCAGAUGAGAUUUCUUACUUUAAUUUGCACGCUCUGAAAGUCCCAGCUCAGCCCAGCCUCUAGGAGUAAACCUGAGCUGGAGUAAACCUUCAAACCUCUUGAGGUUCCUCAACCGAGUCCUAAUAGUGAAGCUGCAUCAAGCAAACCUCGAGGGGUGAGCUGAUCAGAUGGAAUCACAUCAGCAUUUCCAUUGUAAAAUCUCAUCUGUCUGAGGUUUUUGAAAGUCCUCUGUUAAACAGAUCACUCCGAGCUGAAGUUUAGCAAACAAGAUUUCUGACCUCAAACCGGAACGAUAUCGUUUGUGGGUUUGGGUAUUUAUUUUUCUUUCUCCAUGACUUCAGGAAAUGUGUUUGCUUCAAGAGUAUUUUCUGCUUUCCACCUCCUCCUUGGCAAGCCCUGCGGUUGCCUGCCUGGGAUCUGAAUGUGAAGGUGGGCUCUUCUUCUGUAGCCUUCACGGUCAAAAAGGCUCAGAGCCAAAUCUCAGCUGAUGAUCUCGCAGCUGAUCGUAACAAAACAGAAUUCUGCUUCUUUGAGCUCAUGUGUCCUCAAGUUCCGUUGCUGGUAUCAUUGCUGUCUCAACUCUGUAUGGUCAAUAGGAGCAAUCUGCAAAUGCACACACAGUAUGGUGUAACUUAGGAGGAGUAAUACGUGGGGCACUGCUUUUUAUGUCAGUGUUUUUGGGGGAUAUUAUGCCCUCUGAAGAGCUGUUUUUCUGUGGAACGUGCUGCUUUGCAUUGCAAAAUGUUUUAAAAGAAUGGAAUAUUCCAUUAAAUCCUUGAAAAGCAGCGCUGGAUUAGAAUUUUGCCAACAUUCUUGGGAAACCAAAUGUAAAGUUUGGCUUCUUCCAACACAGAGUAAGAGAGGCAGGUUUCUGUAUUCUGCUGUCACCUGAAGUUCUUGGGGGGAACAGGAGGUAAAAUGAGCACAGCUCUGCAUCCCUUCCCCAUCCAGGCUCCACCUGCACCUCCAUCUGAUGUUGUCUGGGUCCCGUGGGCUGCCUUUCACUCCGAAGGUGCAUUAACUUACAUAGGAAUGUGUGGCUCUGCAUUGCAAUGCAACGCUCCCCACAACUAUACUUAAUAGGGACUUUUAUAACAUUGAUACGUAUCAUAAUUGAACAUUGUCAUUAGAUUACAUAUUCACCCUAAUUACAUAAUUAGGUAUGAUUGUGCUAAUUGAGUAAAGACAUAAUUGACUAAAAUCACCCAAAAACAAACACGGGGAGUCACGCCACCGAAAGGCAGUGCUGUAAUAGACAGCAGUGCUGGAGAUCUCUCCUGCUCUCCCAGAAGAGGAACAUUCCUGGUUCAUAGGCAGUUACCAAACAGGCAGAUGUAGUGAAGGUGCUGGGUGAUGGUAAUUAGGUGACUUGUGCUUUAAUAUUUGAUCUCAGCUCCUCAGCUCAGCUCCUCGUGUCAGUAGUAGCAGCAGAUACUCUAAUUGACGGCAUGACUAGCUGCAUGAUGCUUCUUUUCUGCUUGAAAUGACUGUUCCUCCGGGGUGCAAAUACACUUUCAUCCAUCCUGGCUUCAUCUGAGCUUGAAAUGGUGGGAACAGAAUAUCUCAUUCUGAGACCAGGCUCUCAUUGAUGGCAAAUCUCACCCUGUGCAGCAACUGCGGGGGUGUCUAAAAAUUGACCAGAGGGUGAGUAUGGGACAGAAACGGCUUCAGUGUUUAAAAAUACUUCAUCUUAAAGUCUCUGGUUUUCUUUCUUCUUUUCUUUCUUUAAAGCAGCUCUGAAGCAAGCCUAGGUCACGCACAGGUCCACAGAAAGGCUUGUUUAUUCCUAUUGCAUUGUUUUGAAGGGGCUUUGGAUAUAUGGGAGCUGGUGCAGAGGGAUGUAUAGGAAGUGGGACACGAAUAUUGUCUUGGUGAGAGCCCUGCCCCAUGCUGGCAUGCAGCUCCAGCACCUUGGGGUGGGAGGAAGCCCAGCGGGGUGCAGCUCCCAGCUCCCUACAGUGCUGGGGAGGCAGCGAGAACGCUCCUUGAGUGAGUGCCAGCACAGAGCUGACAGCUCAGGGCUUGGGAAACGUGGCAGUGAGGAGGAAGCUGAAGUUGUGAUGGAAGGGAGGCAGGGAGAGGUGGCGAGUCAGGAGCAAAGCAGUCACGGUGGCAUUUGCCAACCUGCGAAAAAUUUAGGCUAUUUAGGCUCAAGGUGAGAAUAUUGCUCAUGAAGUAUUUUCUCUUAUGUCUGUGAAAGGACCUUAGCUGAGCUGAGGAUGCGACUGAAACAAACCAGUUUCUUCUUCCCUUUCUGUUUUGGAGUGAAUUCUUGGAGGAUGUUUUGCUCAGCGCUGUUUGUAACUGCCUGGUCUGCAAGGCGUUCCAUCACAGUGCUGAUGUUAGCAGUGAUCUCUUUCAUUAGAAUGAUUAGAUGCUAAUAACCAUUCUUUAAAUGUUUUGAAUUGCAUUAUUUCUAACCUUUAUAGGAAGGUUGAGAUGCAGGGAAGUACUUCACUGAUAGAUUGUGGAGAACAUGUGUGGCCUAUCUUCGUGAUAUUGAAAUGGUUUAGCUCCUAAGUAGGCUCUGUUAGCUGCAGAAUGUGGAAUAGGACUUUUGAAGAAGUCAGGAGAGGCAACACACCUCCUGUGUCACAUAACUGAGUGGGAUCUGGGGCCUCCUGCCACCAUACGUGAGGUUCAUUGGAUUCCAUAGAGCUGCACAGGUUACAUCUCUGGAUGUCAUGUGUGAGGGCAGAUGCUCAGUGCACAAAAGGGUGGAGUUGUGUCCAGGAAGGAUUCAGGGUGCUUUUGGACAGCAGGAAAGCUGCUGGUCUGGAGCAGGGCUGGAGAACUGCGGUGUCCUGAUCCAUCUGUGUGUCUGGAUCGUUGUUCUGAGAAACAGAGUGGUCAACAGUGACUGUCCUGCUAUGCCACUAGUUAGUAUAUAUAGUCUUAGUUAGUAUACGUAGUCAUACUAUGCCACUAACUGAGAUACUGUGCCAUAUCCAGAGCCUGUCAGUUCAAAAUAAACUUUCCUGAAUAUGUAGUUAUUAGAAAUUCUACUAAUACUAUUAACAGCAAACCUUGCUGUUAUUUAAAUUUAAAUCUCUACACUUAAAUCUUGCAGAAAUAGUGUUUUUCUUUCCAAUUUUCUUCCACUGUUGCAAGCUGAAUUCCAGCACGUGGUGUUGUUUCUCAUCUUCUUCCUUUGCUUUCUAGACAGGCUUUGAAUGCAGAGGUAGGGCACUGGCUUCUUCAUAAUCAGCAACACUACUUUAUCCGAGGAAAAUAGGAGCAACCAAGAUGCCAUCUAUUCAGCACAGCUCAGCACUCAUUCAUGAGCUCUGAUUCCAAUGUAAUCCCCUUCCAGCACAGAGCCGCUGUGCCUGAGGAUGCAUUCACCUGAGAGCAGGAUCUCAGAACUGAUUCAGUUCCACUGUUUGCACUGGCAUAUUUUAAGAUGCUAAUCCCUGUUUGUAAGCUGUAAUAAAUAGGCAGCAUACUGCUUUAAGCACUAGCUUGGUGGGUAAUGGGAAUGAGUCACAAAGAUAACAUCCUGGUUGUUUGACUGUGAACUAAUACAAGUGAAAAAUGUAAUGAGAUCCUUGUUAAGGGAACACUGUCUUAUUCUGACUGCUGAGACAGGCUCAGUAUUGCUUAUCUAAAAGCAUUAAUCUGAGCAAGGAAUCGAUGCAAGGGUAAAACUUACUUAAAUGUUUCAACCCCCUUUUGCAGUUCUCCAAAUCCCACUUCUGCAAUCAUGCUUUAAAUGUGCAGGAGCCAAGAUGUGUGUUCCAGAGUCGAUGCUAUACGUGUUCAAAAAGGAAAAGACAUGUUAGGACAAACUUCACCCUAAACCUUUCUGAGAGCUUUAGAAAAUGUAUGUGUAUGUUCUGUGCUGUAGUCCAGAUGCAUCUGCUACAGAGGAGGAAAAAGCCUUAUUUUUCUGGCCAGGAGCAAAAUUCCUUCUUGUGUGAAAAGUGUCCAUGAUCUUGUUUAUACCUAGCAGCAACAACCAUGACUUACUGUGUCUUAUGUGCUGACAUACGCAGUGCGGGAGAGCUGCGUCUGCUUUGGUGCCUUUUCACCAACACAACAUUUAUUACUUCCAAAUUAGAGCACUGAGAGUGUUGAGGCCUUUUUUUUUUUUUUAUCAUUACUAUUUUUUUAAUUGAACCCCUGACAUAAUGUGAAGUGUGGGUGGCUUUCAGCAUUUUUGACUGCAUGCAUCCAGGUUGAGGUAGUAGGUUGUAUAGUUUAGAAUUACACCAAGGGAGAUAACUGUACAACCUCCUAGCUUUCCUUGGGUCUUGCACAAAGCGGCGUGAUGAGCGACCAUAAUUCCUCAGCAGUGUUUGCUCUGGACACAUGGAACAGGAAAGAGCAGGUAAGAUGAGCUGGAAAAACUUUUCUUUUGCCUCUCUAGAACUUCACAGAUGUUCAUUCUCUCAGCACUUCCUUUUUUUUUUUACCUAUUGGUACCAUAUUAUUGAAUAUUUAGCAAAUUCAGCGGACUAGUAAUGCUUGUCUUCCUUUAUUAGCAUUCGAGCAGCGCUAUGUGUUACAUUCCUAAAAAGCACCAUGACAACACAGCAGUGUUACUGCCUUCAUGGUCAGCAAGCAGAAGUCUCCAAAGGUAACAAGGAAAACGUCCUGCACUGUGUCUGUUACUGAGAUGUGCAAGUGGGUUUCCCCUGGCGUUAGCUGGGUUAGUUCUGCCCCAGCAGCUGAGUGAGGCUGUGCCAGCAGCAGAGUGGGAGCUGGCACUCCUUGCCUCUCAGAAAGGUAGGAGGCUGGCACUGAUGCUUCCAGAUAAAACCUGCAAGGGUUUGUGUGAAAGUACCUAAAUCUACACAGUCCCCAGGAGAGCUGUUCUUAGGGAAUCUCCAUUAAUGAUUACAGAUAGCUAAAAUGGUGGUUUUCAAGGUUGUUUUUUUUUUUUUCCUAGGCUUUUACAAUUAAAGUAGGCGUUUCAAAGACUGAUGCUUCUGGUCACAUCUUGUAAAGGUGGUUUGCUUCUCCUUCGUAUCAGUUUCAUUUAGGAUUGCUGCUCUGCAUAUGCUUUAGGCUGCUUUAUUUCUCUGCCCAUAGAUCUUGUUGGAAGUGCACGUUUUCAACUGAUGUAAAUCCACAAACUGUGCUGACCCACAUCCAGCAUAGAGUUAGUGGACACCACUCUCAAUGGUUGAUCCUUUAGCUGCUUGGUACUUCUCUAGGAAAAACAUUACAUAUUAAUGGUGACGGUUCCCAAAUAAGAACAGUUUGCUUUCCCUUUUGGUGGCAGAAUUGUAGACCUGCUUCAUGCAAGUAUAAGGGUACUUUGUAAGGUUGAAAGUUGCUGACUGUGUGUACUAACACACAUACUUGUGGCUAUCAAACUUAAUGCCAGAUGGAUAUGUAAAUCAAAUAAUCUAUCUGCUCCAAAGAACAAGAGGUAACAAUGAAGAAGGAGGAUGGUCAGUGGUACAGUGGAGUUAACAAUAACCAUAAUUCAGUGUGCAUAUUUUUCUUCCGAACAAAGCAGCAUUCCAGCUUUCCCCCUGAUGAGAGGAAUGUAUUGUCAAUUAAUUAGACUUCCAUCAUAUGUCCUCGGAUGCCCUUCUAUCAUAUGCCUUCCAUAUGUCCUUAUGUCAUAUGCCUUCCAUAUGCCCUCUGUGUAAUUAAGCUUCUAUCAUAUGGCUUCUAUCAUAUGCCAUUUAAGUAGAUUUCCAGGAGAAUGUGGCAGUGUUACAAUUACGGACCUUUUGCAAUGAGUAAAGGAGCAGCUCAUGAGCUGUAGAUUAGAAGAGGAGGAAGCAAAAGGAAGGUGUCUAGCUCUGAACGGUUCCUGUAAUUGCCAGUCUUGUUUCUCCCUGCUUGCACAAUGAACAGACAGAAGUGUCCUAAUUUCCUUCUCUUCCAUUGCUGUUCCAUUCCUAGUUUUUAUUCAGUUAUUCCUGUGAACAGUAGGAGAGAUAGUAACUGUUUUUCAGAGAACAUUUCCAUUGGAAUGUAAAAUGAAAAAGAAACAAUCCACCCCCUAGAAAAUUGUUUGUCCUUUGAUAAUGGAAUCUAAACUUUGAUCUGAUUUUUUGUCCUUUUAAGUCUGACGUACAAAGGGAAGGACUAGAAAUGUCAUGGGGGGAGAACUAAUGAAAAUGAGAUGGUGCACUUUGUUUGAGCACACAUCCCUAUUCUCUAUUAUGGGCAAUGAGUGUAAAUAGCGUUGUGCAUUUCUUGGCAUGGUGAUUGCUUGGUAGAUAAUGUAGAAGAAUACGUAGUGAAAUGGAUUCCAAAUUUACUGUGGCUUACUAAGACCCAAAAUAGGCUCUGAUGCCUGUAUACCUCAUGAAGAAAACUGCAAGCGUCCAAGGAGCGAUAAGGUCGUGGAAUGGUUUCCAAUGAAAAGGCAGCUAAUGUGCUCACUUGGCUCAUGAACAUCUCUGUAUCCGUGCCCUCUUCCUUCCCAAAUACUUCUGAAACCGUAUUCUAUCACCAAUCAAAUUUGAUAGAGCAGCAGCGACUCCUGAGACCAUUGUGCUCCAGCAGGCUGUACAGAAUUUGCAACCAUGCACCCUGUGUAGUUGGGAGGAUGGGUGGAAGGAUGAAGAGAAGGUGAAAUACCACGAGAUGCUCUGAAGUGACAGAGCUGUAAGCUGGGGAACAGUUCUGUAGUAUGUGUAGGUUUAUCUGGAGCAAGUGGUUGGAAUGAGAACAGUUUGGACAGAUUCCCACUGACUGGUGGCCAGCCCCUGAAGACAUUGUGACUUCACUGCUAUUUUAUGUGUUUUAUGCAGAUGAAGCUGGUAUUUACAAAAAAAUUGUCCUAUAUUUUGCUAGGCAGACAUACUGCAAGUCACUAUUAGCAAUAUAGGUUCCUCACAGGAAGAUAAUGGGUCUUACUUUUGUUCUAGGUCACUAGGGAAGUUAUUCUGAAAACUGCCUCCUGUGGUCCUGCAGUAUCAGUAUAAGGAUUUGCUGAUGUCACAGUUGUAAACUGCUUACUUAGGAAUGUGUUGGAGCCUCUUAUGGCUCAGCUGUAUCUUUCAACACCACUAAUUUAUUUAAAGAAUAAUUAAUAAGGUGUUGCAUUCAGUAGUAAUUUCUUGGUUUGCUGGGCAGCAAGGUAUUACUUGGAACAGCACAUUAUUGCAAAUUCUCUUUUGUUUCUGUGUUUUCACAUGGCUGUGGUGGCUGUGAAAGGUGCCAGCCAACAGUGAUGAAGAAGGAGGAACUCUGCUUAUCCACAAAUAAUGGGAUUUGCUUGCGUGCAGCCCCACAAGCAUCUUCUGAGCUGCCUCACAGCUGUCCUUGGAUGGGCCAACCUGUGGCAUUGAGCAAUCUGGGCAGGGCUGUUUCCUGGGCCUUGAAUGCUCAUCCUUUAGAAAGGAAACUGAAAUUCAAAAACUUUCACUGUUGGAGGGAUCUUUUCUUUCUUUCUUUCUUUCUUUUUUUUUUCUUUUCCUUAAACAAUGCCUUUCAUCUGCUUCCACACCCAGCUGAAACUAUGCCGCAACACUUCUGCUCCUAAAUCAGAUGCAUUAAGUAUAGUCAAAUUUAUACAUAAAAGUUUUGCAAGAACAGGGAUGAAAUAGAAUGGAAUGCCAGAAUGACUCAUUGUUUAAUGAAUAAGGCCCUAAGUGUUCUAUUGAUGCCAUUUAUAAAUCUGUAUAAAAUGUAUAGAAUUCAUGUCAUAACUGGAAUUCCAAGCACAGCAACCUUGUGAGCUAAAUUAUGAUGAUGAUAGGGUACUGCACAAAUUAAUAUGAAUUCUAACACGCUUCUGCUUGAAAGCUGCUCAGACAGUUAAAAAUAAGACAAUUUCAUUACAGAGAUUCAAAGCCCGGACCUCAGAAAUGGUCUCCUCUCUUCUUUUGAAGUUGCAAGUUGCUGAAGGAGGGAAGUUCUUUUUGUCUGUGUUCAAGUCACAAAGUAUAACCUAUAAGGGAAAAAUACAUCCUUUCCAUUAGAUACAGAUAUUGAUUACAGUGCAGCUGGAGAAUAAAAGAAUUAGGUGGUAGAGAACCAGCUCUGUAUUCAGACACCCAUCUGUGUGAAAUGAAGGGCUUGAGGCCAGAGCAGAGAUCUGAGCACUCGUCUCUUUUUGACCACCUAUUUUCUUCCCCUUCUCACUUUCACCUUAUCAUAGAUUUGCCGUAGAUUUGCAGCUUAGGAAUGAAAGCAGAUGAAGUUCAGCACUUCCAGAGUGAGUUUUCAGGAGUCUUCAGUCACAGCCAAACUCCUGGAUGUGUGGUGUUGGGCUGCCAGCAUUUAAUUGAUAAAAACUUCCAAGGGUUGGAAAUUUUGUAUAGCCCAAAAGAUCCAAAGCAUUUUACUGGGGGGGGAAUGGCUUCUUUUUUCACGUUUCUUUUCUGACCAGAACAGGACUUCUGGUUGCCCUGACUCCACUGAUCUCUAGGCAGUCCCAGCUGCAUAUAUUUAGCUUCAAAGGUUCAUAAUAUAAAAUGUAUUUUCCCGAAGCAAAUCAGAUUUUUACAUGUGAAAUUAGCCUCUUUGUGCAAUGUCAUGGCCCUGUUUCUUGGUUAAAUAAGUUCAAGAAUCAGGUUUCUGGGGCAGAUGGGGAAAGAUUCUGAAAUUCGGUGCUAAACACAGUGCCUCCCGCUUCCUUCCAUCUCUCCCUGCUUCCCUCUAUCUCUACAGAAAACAGUUUCAUCUCCAGUUAGGUGCUCCAGCCUUGUCUAAAAUGACAGUUUAAAGGCAGGGUAGGUAUAGCCAAUAUGGGAUCCUCAAUUUCCAUUUUCCAUCUACGUUCUCCUGUGUUCAGGAACAACUGCAUCACGCUGCAGAGGAGCAAAUGUUGGGGUGCAGGGCUUCCCCCUGUCCCUUUCAGGCUGCUGAGGAUAAACCCACUCCAAGCAUGAGUCACCCCUCUGCCGUUCUCCCCUUCCACCCUUUGCCAAGGUCUGGUGACAUGACUGUGAUUUCUCUGAAGCUUGUCUUUGUUACAGGUGUGACACACGGCUCAUAGGGUUUCAUUAUGGCUUUCAUAACGUAUUAAUGAAAUGUCAGGAUCAAGUCAUUUAUAAUUAACAGUGAUGUGUAAAUGCCAUGUCUAACAAUUGUAGUGUAAGUGUAUUUUUGUGAAUGGGCCAUUUUUUCACGUGUGCAACUGACAGCGUCCAAAAAAGCCUUAACCAGUCAGGCAGACAUUUGAUAAAGACAGACUAUUUUUUUCUUCUUCUUCUUUUUGCUUUUGCAUUUUCCUCCUGAAAAUAUGAUGUGCAGUCUGAUAUGCAGUCAGUCCCUGUCACCUGCUGUUGCUAAAUCCAACACCAAUUCAGAGCUCAAGCCAUCAAUGGGAGCUUUUUUGAGCAUUCAAGAGCUUGGUCCUGUUAUAAACGUAGAGUGGAUGCACCCCUGCACAGCAGGGAGGUGAAAUUCAACUGAGUGUUGUCUGUGUUUUUGGGAGCAAAAACAGUGAGGCAUGCAGAGCAGGAGCUGUGCUACCAGGCCUGAGUGGUUCAAAAAGAUGCCAGCAAAAAUGAGCCUAAGCAUGGAGAUAUCCAAAAUCGGCAUAGUGGAACCAUUCCCAUUAGAAAGGAAAACAAAUUUACAUCAGAAUGAAAAGAAAGGAAAUAAUGAGGAGGUAGAAUGAGAAAUUCUUGUAGUCUUGCAAAGUGAGUACAAGGAGACACGCGGUGAAAGCAAAUGGUGACAAAUUGAAAAUGUUUUAAAAGGCAAUUCUUUUUCACCAGCGCUUAAUUAAAAAAUGAACCUAAUUGCUUUUAGAAGUUAAUGGGACCAAGAAGUUUGCAAGCCUAGAACAGGUUAGAUACUAAAGUUUGUAAUAAGCAUAUGCAGAAUUAUGCUAAUUCAGAGCUGAGUUUAGACUUCAUGUUUCAAGACCUGAAGCAUGAAUGAAGCGCAGCAGUUCAGGACAAGAAGUGAAGCAGUGCAAAGGACAACUGUGGGUCAUGCAGAGCCGCCAACACCUGUCACACUUGGAGCAGGUUUGGUAGAGAAGUUUGCAUUCUGCCCAACCUGCAUCUGUCUCUUGGAGAUUAUUAAGCACAUGGCUCACACUGACAAAUGAGUGAAGGGUUGAUGGAGCAAUAUUGAUAAUAAUUACCCAGCAGCCUGGUCCACCUGCAGUUCCUCACAGCUGCUGUGCGUGAUGGGGAAGGUUUUUGUGACCACUGUAAAGGAUACAGAGACAGGUGAAGCUGGCUCCUCCGAAUCGUGCUGCUUGGAAAUGCGUGGCUCUCAGCUUGGUACGAGCUUUGGGGUCACUCCAUUCAGUCCCUGAAUGCUGUAGGCAAACAGUCUGCGUUCUUUGGCCUCAGUGAGCUUAAAUAAUUGUUGCAAGCAGAAGGUCAAACCCAUUCCUGGGUUAAUGCCCCUGAUGUGGGUGUAUUUUAAAGAGCUGGUUUUUUUCCUUGUGUUUGAAGUGGCUUCUCAUCUCGUCUGAGGAGGAGUAGCAGUUGUGGCUUCAAGAGUGGUUUGCAGUAAUGCUGUUUGUAGUCUGACAAAUGCCACAGCUUCCCCUUGGCUUUCUAUUUCCUCCCAUAAGUGAAUUUGUUAGAUUUGGAGACAGGAUCUCAAAAAAAGAAUGAGGAAGAAAGGAAGAACGGGAAGGAAAUGGGAAGGGGAGAAGGCGAGGCACAAUUGCUAUCUGCUACAGAUCUUGUGGUUGGAGUUGAUUUUGGAAAUUGCCUUCCCAGUGGCUUUUGAAAUGUGAAAGGAGAACUUACGAUUAAAGGAGCUAAGAUAUUUCAGUCACGUGUUUCCCUUCAUUUGUGUGUGAGAAUAGUUACUGAAUAAGAAAUUGAAUAGUGUAGGUUCAGUGGAAAAAAUACAACCAGGGUCUGCUGCUCGCUGUGUUGGUAAUGAUGCAGUUUGACUGCUGAAUCAUUUCUGUUUGUAGGGUUCUGUCAUACAUGGCACUGGUCAGUGAGCUCUGAUUGUAGUGCUGCAAUAAAUCAUCAGGGCCCUAUGCUGGUGGCUGGAUGUCCUAAAGGAUCACUCAGAACUUCAUGUCAAAAUUAGAGACCUGCAGUCUCUUCCUUCUUCAGUGUGAGUGUGGGUUUGUCCUCGUAUACCCUGCUGUGGAGAAGGCUGCUUUUAAAUCUUUAAUAGGGCAUUAGAGCAAUUUGCCUGUGAUUUAGUAAUAAGUGGGCAAGGAGAGUGGUGACAAACGAAGCCGGGAGGCCCUAAAAUUCUUUGAAUAUUCCAUGUUUUCCUGGAACUGUUGGGAAAAGGCUGCCAGAAAGGUCUUGGCAGGUUUUCUAGGUGGCUGGCCAAGUCUGAAGCAAAUGUGGAUAGUUAAUAGGCUAAUGCAGCUCUGGUUCCAAGUCCAUACAUAUAUAACAUAAGUUUUUAUUUAAGAAAUCCCACCACACGGAGGAGCAAAUGUAGUGCUAAUAUAUCUUCCUGCAAGAAAAUGGCAAGGGAAAAAGCACUGUCAUCUUGUGAAGAUAAAGCAAAGGAUCCUUUGCCCUUGCAUUUUGGAGAGUUGAAUUGUGAUUUUAACAAGAGGAGAUGUAGGAAAUGAAAUCAGUAGACAGGCAGUGGCUUUCCCAUGGGGGCCCCAUAUUAAUUGGGAAAGGCUGAUAUAGCAAUAGUUUACAUCUGGGAAAAAUGGCAGGAGUUGUUCAAAGAAUGGAUUUCCAUUGCUAGAUUGUCUGUUUGGUGUUAAAAAAAAUGGUAAUUGAGCAGGACAGUGAUCAAAUAAUGGCGUGGGACCAACUGCUGCAGUUGGUUGCAUGUGGACAACCCUUCCUAGCUCAGAGCUGGAAUCUGUCUGUGGGUCAGGCUGUAAAGCUUAGGUGCUGCUAAAGAGCCACAGUGUAAGUUAGUUUGGGAAGGGUUCCUCUGUGCGCUGGACUCAGAAUGUUGGCUCUCUGCAGCUGCAGGCACCCAGGAGUGGAUGUUCACCAUCGUGCCUGGCGUGAGUUUGCUCCUGGGAAACAGGAGUUCAGAUUUCUCUCAGGCAUCAGGUGAAUUAGCUUUGUAAUUUUACAGUCCUCUCCAGUGUGAAGGAUUCUUGUUUGUGCUCAGCUCGUGGGGCUUGUCUUGUUUUAUUAUUAAUGAGGAGAAGGCUACUGUGCACAGCCUCUGCCGUUAUCAUGGAACGAUUUAUUUCUUUGAUUAAGCUGCUGGUGCAAGUCCUGAAGUUCUGCACCAGUUUUCCUAUGGGAUCGCUGAUGAGUUGCUUAUUUUUCUUUGUUUUUACUUGCUGUCUAUUAGAUGGAGGUCCUUCUAACGCAGAAGGAAAGGCAGAGGUGCAGAUCGUAUGUGAAUUGUUCAGUCUGCUGUGUUGCAUGUCAUGUUGGAACUGCAAGUGAGCAUACUGUGUAUCUGUAUGAAGAUAGAUUUCAUAUGGACUGCUGCCAUGCUGACAUAUACAUUCAUUAGCUAUACAGCCUUAGAACUGACAAUAUUUAUAAUCGGAUACUACUCUGAUAAGAACACAAUCAACUCGAAAAGGAUGUUAUUGUACUUUGAAAAUCCUAUUUAAAGAAUGUCAUUUAUUAUCAUAAUAGGUUAAGUAACCUCGUAUUCAGAUUGUUCUAUUUGUUUUCCUCAUUUUCUACCUCAUACAAAUGUUACGCUGUCUCUGUGCUGUAAAAGCAACUGAAUUUAAACUUAGGAUGUAACAGAGCCUGCACUGCAAUGUUCAGUGAUGCAGAAGAACAGACUGGCACCAGGAGUGGGGAGACUGGCUGCUCUGCUUGCAUCCUGCUGCUAUUUCUGGCAUGCAGAGACUGAGCAGUGUCUGCUGGCCCAAACCUAAGUCCUCAGACACGGCUGCAUCUUCAACGCGUUCUGACACUCGUGCUCUCUCUCACAUGCCUCUGAUAUGUGGCCUUCUGAUUUUUAGUAUUCUCAACACCAGUGAAAACAAGUUAUAGUACUUUAAGAGCUCUGUGUCUAGUUUCCAAAGGUAAGAGGACUUGCAUGCAGCCCCGCGUUCAGGUUCCCAAGCCUGUUAUUUAUCUGACAGCAGGACCUAAAUGGCUUGGCAUCCUGUAGAUGCCCUGUGAGAAGAGGCUUCCUGCCCUCAGGAGCCUGCAGUCUAACCAGAUAAGGCCAGCAGGAGAGGGAACACAGAGAGAUGGAGAAACUUGACCAACUGAGCACGUUGAGUGGCAGGGCUGGGAAUAGGAACAGACCUUUUGAAUUCUCACCACUGUCACCACCACCAAAAAUAUUUCGGUGUUCUACCUUUUGGUUUAACUCUUAAGCAAUAGAUGAGACAAAUAUUUUUGUUGCUGUUGGGAGAAAUAUGCCCCCCUUGUUUAAUUUUAUUUUUUCAAAUUGUGGCAAGCGUGGGCCAUAGCUGGAGUACAGGAACACCUGGAAAACAAUUUUUUGUUUAUCUUUGAAAUAAUUCCAGCCUCUCUUUAAAAAGAAAGUCAUUGCUGGUGAGAAAGGCUGUGACAGGAGGUCUGGGGGAUGUGUAGGAUGACUGUGCUCUGAGGUCCUUCCGCUCCUUAUGACCUAUCAGGGCUCUCUACAAACAUGAAUUAUGGCUCAGAGUCAUUUCUUUCUCAUGUGAGAUAGAUAUGUUACCUAUUUUGGUUUUAUGCAGGGGAAAAAUGGGCGCAGACUGGGGAUCCACAGUGGGUUCAUGGAGGAGAAAUAACAGAUCUCUGGCCUGCAGCAGGCAGCAAGCGAGGCUUUCCAUCUCAGUGCAGACUGACCUGCACACUUUUUGCCUAUUGAAAUAUAAUUCAUUCUAGCUCCGUUUUAGCCUCAUGGAUUUCUAAUUUUAAUGUGAUUUUCUACUCUUCCUGCUGGAUCAGAUUCCCAAAAUGUCACUAAACUUUGUGCCUGUUACUGAUGUUCGAUCUGGGUUCAGUCGCUGAGAUUCUAAUUGAGCAGUCUCAGUCUGUGUUUUACUUUUAGUGACUUUUAGGGAAAGAGAAAAAAAAAAGAGUUGAUUAAUUAAAGGACAUCACCUUUUUCAUGCAAUGAUUCUAUUUAAAUUUCAAACAAAUUUAAAUAAAAAGCAUUAAAUGUUCACCGUAGGUUAACAGACUAAUGAAGCUCCGUCAGUUAGUAACUGAAAUACCUGGAAAUCAGUCAGCCCUUUGGUAUGAGACCUCAGAUCUGAAGGAGCAUUACCACCAGCUCAGAAACGAUCAGAUUUUACUGAAAUUUUAGUGAGUUUCUUGGAGCUUUGGUCAUGUUUUAUGUGAAUCAAGCCUUAUGUGAAAUUCCUGGUGGACCAGAAGCCAUGUGAAAUACGAGGGUUUUCAGGUGCUUGAUGUGGUGUGGAAAUGGCAAAUCAUGCAGGAGUAGAUGUUAAACAUCAGUGCGUGACUUCAUCCAAGCAAGUUCAAGUUUCGUCUUGAGUUUUGGAGUUUGGUUAAAUCCAGUAUGUGCAGAAGAGCUCACAUCCGAGAGCGGAUUGGAAACUCCCUAUGGACAAAACACACAUAACUCCAGGUACUGCAUUCCUGCUUCUCAUGCUCUUUCUUUGGUAGUGAAUGAAUUAAUCUCUGUUACAUCCACUGACCUUUUGUUGAACUCUUCCCAUUUUCCCAAACUUGGUUUUAAAUAAGGCAUGGAAUGAUGCAGAAUUCCAAGACUGUCGUGCCUGGAGGUGAACAACUCUGCCUCAUUUGGCUUUUUCCUUGCUUUUCUCACCCUAGGACAAAUUGUUUCAUGGCUUUGUCCAUAAAGAAAUAUGGCUUGGUCCAUAAAAUAAUAGCUGUAUUAUUUUAACUGUCCUCCAUUAUCUAGAGGUUGAAAGAUUCAGAGCUCAACAGCCUUUUAAAAACAUGUUAGCAGAAUUGGAGUCAGGUAGAAAAAAAUACAACCAUCCCCUCUCUAUGCCGAAUCGCUGUCAGGAUAGACCUUGUUGGGUCUGAAGGUGAGAGCUGAUGGGUGGGUUGGGUUAAAAGGAUUUAUUGGGGAUGAAAUGGAGUUAUAGGACCAUCAGCCAUACUGCAUCCUCUUUGUCGACUAACAGGGUUGAGGAUAACAAGAGUUAUCUGGACUGAAAGAGCAGCUUUCUUCCAAGGACUCCCUGUGGACACGGUAAGCUUUGAUGUGAUGGGUUUAAAUGUGGGGAAGCAGGGUAGGAAGAGGUGAAAAACUGCCUGGGUGUGGAAUUGGGUGAUGCUGUACAAGACUUCAAAUUGGAAGCCUUCUGCUGUCCAACUCCUCACUUGGCAAUUAGAGAGCUAUUCUGGUCAUGCCCAAACCAGGACGCUUCACCCAACCUUUUUUGCCAUGGAUAUGCCCCACACCAUGAAUUUGCACCUUUCCUCGGUCACUGUUAGAACUCUUCAUUUAUUUUGGCAGAUAUUUUUUACUCCCUUGAAGACUUGCUAUUGUUUCUUCAAAUUCUUCCCACAUCUUCUCAUAUCUGCUGCCCGUAGAGCUGAGGCAGAACUGAUAUUUUUACAAAUAUUUCCAAAAUGGUGUCGGUGUGGUAAAAUUACCAAUUUUAUCUUUUUCUCCUACAGGAGGGGAAGAAAAAAACAACCAACUUUAAGUUGGUCUGUAGCGAAGUUACUGACUUGUCUCAAAAACACCUCAAGGUUUUAUAGUUAAUGCUUAAGUCCCUAAAGCAUCCCCUCUGGCUGAGCCUCCCUUCCCCUAUGUGUUUUCUCCUUUGAACCUCUAAUUCCAAUUCAUUUCAGAAAAAAAUCAUCAUAGUUUGUCUGCACUCCGCUUUCUGCUCCAACUGUGCACCUACCAAGGUCUGCUUUGAACCUGUGUCUGUGAUUAAAUUCAUUCUUCCUUUCUGUUUUCCAGCUCCUCUCUGCAAAAUGGCUCUCACUCCAUUUCUGUGAGAACUCUUCCCACAAACCGGGUCCCUAAGAGGAUUAGUGAAGGGGAUACCAAUUUAUUUAUACUCACCUCAGCAUGGUAGCAGCCAAACACUGUAAGUUGCUGGAUUAUUAAAUGGCCUGGAGCACAUGAAAGGAGCUUCAAUCUUCUGGUGCGGUUCAGAGCGGACAGGUGUCUGCUGCACAGCUGCUCUGAACUGAUCCUCAGUUUUGGCAAGGUUAUUUUUUUCCUUCUUGACCUGCAUUGGUGAGAUGAACAGGUGUGCUCAGAAACAAACGGGCCAUGGCGAUUUGGUCCCUUUUUAAAGGCAAGGCCAGUUUUCAGGCCUCUUUCAGUUGCACUUCGCUGGGGGGGAGGAAAAAAAGAACUAAAGAGGGAUAUGGAGAGUUAGGGAAACCCCUCAAACUUUGUUUAAUUACAAGUUCCUGGCACUCCCAGUGCUGGAUGAUGCUGCCAUUUGUGUUUUCUUCUAUAGUGCCUGUCUUGCAUGGUCCCAAGCAGAGUUAAAUGCAUGUCUGUGACCACAAGAGGAUGAUGCCUCUGUUUCUUUGUGCCAGCCUGGAGGCCCUGAGGUGCUGGAGUUUAAGUCCUUGAAAAACAAGGUUGCUGGACUCUAGUAAAUAAAGUGUCCGGAUGUUAGAGAUGAUUCAUAAAAAGCAAUUAAAAAAGGAAAGUGCCUUGCUGCUGAGCGUAAUGUCUUGAAGAUGUCCUUAGGACUGUGUAAUGCUGCAGACAGUGGGCAGUGGUAAGUGACCGCUGUGCUUAAGAUUAACCAAUCUGUUUCCGGUGUAGCUCUUCUUUUCACUUGGUUCUCAUGAUCAAAACUUUAUAUAUAUAUAUAAUUUUUUGGUAGCUGAAUUUUCCUUGCUUAGCCAUUGCUUCAAAAUAGUUCCCAUCCCUUCCUUCCUUUGAAGAACAUCUAUUGUAACAUUUUCCAUGGGAGAAAUGUGCUUCUUUGAAAUUUAAAUACCAGAGAUGGCAAAUAAUUGAAAUUCAUCAAACGUGGUUUAGUCGUGGAGUUGGGUUUUCUUUCAGUGCUACCCUCUUGCCUUCCAGCCCUGACCUUCCACAAGGCACAGAGCAGCCCACUUGUGGUGCCAUUUGCAAUAAGCAAGACAGAGCUGUGUUACAACACCACUGGGAUUCUUGCUGUGUGCAGAGAUGCCCAGCGUGGCCACAAGGCCUAAGCAAGAGGUAGGCAAACAUCUCCCUGCAUGGCUUUUCCAGUCCUUAACUAACCUGUGAGCUCCCAGCCAUGCUGCUGGCUCUGCCCGUUGCGUUGGAUGCCUUUUGCUUCUCUUGGUGUCUGCACGUGGUCCAGAGCUGGGGCUUGGCUUUGCUGUGCCCUUCAUUAGACCAGGCAUAUAUGCUAAGGGAAGCAAAACAGUUUACUGAUUUAUCAUGGAUCAUUAGAUGGAGUAACUGUUCUUAAAACAUCACCAGUAUAGAUACAAUAAUUAGAGAUGUGCUUUUGUUAACAUUGCCAGCCUCUACCCUCUUGUACAGUACCCUUGGGUACUAAAUAAUUACCCACUUUGUGUGGUUAUCUAGCUCACUAAUUACCCACAAAAAUUGGGGUCAGGUGUUAACUGCUUGAAAUAAGUAUCCUCCGAAGACUUGGUUAAAUUGUGUAAAGAAAUUAUGUGUUUGCAGCAAAACUUAAAAGGAAAAAAAAAAAAAAGCAAACUUU